rnacentral:misc_RNA from 1 species
GAAAUGCGAUAAGUAAUGCGAAUUGCAGAAUUUCCGUGAGUCAUCGAAUCUUUGAACGCACAUUGCGCCCAUUGGUAUUCCUUGGAGCAUGCCUGUUUGAGUAUCAUGAAAUCUUCAAAGUAAAUCUUUUGUUAACUCAAUUGGUUUCUACUUUGGUAUUGGAGGUCUUUGCAGCUUCACACCUGCUCCUCUUUGUUCAUUAGCUGGAUCUCAGUGUUAUGCUUGGUUCCACUCGGCGUGAUAAGUUAUCUAUCGCUGAGGACACUGUAAAAGGUGGCCAAGGUAAAUGCAGAUGAACCGCUUCUAAUAGUCCAUUGACUUGGACAAUACUUUUAUGAUCUGAUCUCAAAUCAGGUAGGACUACCCGCUGAACUUAAGC